AGUGAACGCUGGCGGUAGGCCUAACACAUGCAAGUCGAACGGCAGCACAGUAAGAGCUUGCUCUUACGGGUGGCGAGUGGCGGACGGGUGAGGAAUACAGCGGAAUCUACUUUUUCGUGGGGGAUAACGUAGGGAAACUUACGCUAAUACCGCAUACGACCUACGGGUGAAAGCAGGGGAUCUUCGGACCUUGCGCGAUUGAAUGAGCCGAUGUCGGAUUAGCUAGUUGGCGGGGUAAAGGCCCACAAAGGCAACGAUCCGUAGCUGGUCUGAGAGGAUGAUCAGCCACACUGGAACUGAGACACGGUCCAGACUCCUACGGGAGGCAGCAGUGGGGAAUAUUGGACAAUGGGCGCAAGCCUGAUCCAGCCAUACCGCGUGGGUGAAGAAGGCCUUCGGGUUGUAAAGCCCUUUUGUUGGGAAAGAAAAGCAGCAGGUUAAUACCCCGCUGUUCUGACGGUACCCAAAGAAUAAGCACCGGCUAACUUCGUG
rnacentral:rRNA from 1 species